GGAUGUGAGGGCGAUCUGGCGGCGACAUCUGUCACCCCACUGAUUACCGUGGUUGAUUCGACUAAUCUGGCUGACUAGGCGGGUGACCCCUUCCUCCCUCACCACUCCAGUGUGCGUCCCUCUCGAUGCUGCGCGCUAGGAGAAAGAGGACCAGUCUUCAAGAAGCAUGGUGAGAGUCUGGGGAAUGUAACCUAGUCAGUAGAGUGCCUAGCUAGCAUGCAUGAGGCCUUGCAUUCAAUCCCUACCAAGAAAAGAAAAAAAAAAAACUGCUU
rnacentral:sRNA from 1 species